UACGUAGGGUCCGAGCGUUGUCCGGAAUUACUGGGCGUAAAGAGCUCGUAGGUGGUUUGUCGCGUUGUUCGUGAAAACUCACAGCUCAACUGUGGGCGUGCGGGCGAUACGGGCAGACUAGAGUACUGCAGGGGAGACUGGAAUUCCUGGUGUAGCGGUGGAAUGCGCAGAUAUCAGGAGGAACACCGGCGGCGAAGGCGGGUCUCUGGGACGGUACUGACGCUGAGACGCGAAAGCGUGGGGAGCGAACAGG
rnacentral:rRNA from 1 species